GCAGUCGAACGGCAGCACGGGGGCAACCCUGGUGGCGAGUGGCGAACGGGUGAGUAAUACAUCGGAACGUGUCCUGUAGUGGGGGAUAGCCCGGCGAAAGCCGGAUUAAUACCGCAUACGCUCUACGGAGGAAAGGGGGGGAUCUUAGGACCUCUCGCUACAGGGGCGGCCGAUGGCAGAUUAGCUAGUUGGUGGGGUAAAGGCCUACCAAGGCGACGAUCUGUAGCUGGUCUGAGAGGACGACCAGCCACACUGGGACUGAGACACGGCCCAGACUCCUACGGGAGGCAGCAGUGGGGAAUUUUGGACAAUGGGCGCAAGCCUGAUCCAGCAAUGCCGCGUGUGUGAAGAAGGCCUUCGGGUUGUAAAGCACUUUUGUCCGGAAAGAAAACCUCUGGGUUAAUACCCCGGGGGGAUGACGGUACCGGAAGAAUAAGCACCGGCUAACUACGUGCCAGCAGCCGCGGUAAUACGUAGGGUGCAAGCGUUAAUCGGAAUUACUGGGCGUAAAGCGUGCGCAGGCGGUCCGCUAAGACAGAUGUGAAAUCCCCGGGCUUAACCUGGGAACUGCAUUUGUGACUGGCGGGCUAGAGUAUGGCAGAGGGGGGUAGAAUUCCACGUGUAGCAGUGAAAUGCGUAGAGAUGUGGAGGAAUACCGAUGGCGAAGGCAGCCCCCUGGGCCAAUACUGACGCUCAUGCACGAAAGCGUGGGGAGCAAACAGGAUUAGAUACCCUGGUAGUCCACGCCCUAAACGAUGUCAACUAGUUGUUGGGGAUUCAUUUCCUUAGUAACGUAGCUAACGCGUGAAGUUGACCGCCUGGGGAGUACGGUCGCAAGAUUAAAACUCAAAGGAAU
rnacentral:rRNA from 1 species